rnacentral:rRNA from 1 species
UACGGAGGGGGCUAGCGUUGUUCGGAAUUACUGGGCGUAAAGCGCGCGUAGGCGGACCUGCAAGUCGGGGGUGAAAGCCCGAGGCUCAACCUCGGAACUGCCUUCGAUACUGCGGGUCUCGAGUCCGGGAGAGGUGAGUGGAAUUCCUAGUGUAGAGGUGAAAUUCGUAGAUAUUAGGAAGAACACCAGUGGCGAAGGCGGCUCACUGGCCCGGUACUGACGCCUGAGGCGCGAAAGGCGUGGGGAGCAAACAGG